rnacentral:rRNA from 1 species
CAGGUGCUAAUACCGGAUAACAACAAAUCCGCAUGGAUUUUGUUGAAAGGUGUUCGUAUCACUUCUGGAUGAUCCCGCGGCGUAUUAGUUAGUUGGUGAGGUAAAGGCCCACCAAGACGAUGAUACGUAGCCGACCUGAGAGGGUAAUCGGCCCCAUUGGGACUGAGACACGGCCCAAACUCCUACGGGAGGCAGCAGUAGGGAAUCUUCCACAAUGAAAGUCUGAUGGAGCAAUGCCGCGUGAGUGAAGAAGGGUUUCGGCUCGUAAAACUCUGUUGUUAAAGAAGAACACCUUUGAGGUAAUUCAAGGGUUGACGGUAUUUAACCAGAAAGCCACGGCUAACUACGUGCCAGCAGCCGCGGUAAUACGUAGGUGGCAAGCGUUGUCCGGAUUUAUUGGGCGUAAAGCGAGCGCAGGCGGUUUUUUAAGUCUGAUGUGAAAGCCUUCGGCUUAACCGGAGAAGUGCAUCGGAAACUGGGAGACUUGAGUGCAGAAGAGGACAGUGGAACUCCAUGCGUAGCGGUGGAAUGCGUAGAUAUAUGGAAGAACACCAGUGGCGAAGGCGGCUGUCUAGUCUGUAACUGACGCUGAGGCUCGAAAGCAUGGGUAGCGAACAGGAUUAGAUACCCUGGUAGUCCAUGCCG